UACGAAGGGGGCUAGCGUUGCUCGGAAUCACUGGGCGUAAAGCGCACGUAGGCGGAUUGUUAAGUCUGUCGUGAAAGCCCCGGGCUCAACCUGGGAAUGGCGAUGGAUACUGGCUCGCUAGAGUGCGGUAGAGGAGAGUGGAAUUCCCGGUGUAGCAGUGAAAUGCGUAGAGAUCGGGAGGAACAUCAGUUGCGAAGGCGGCUCUCUGGGAUGAUGCUGACGCUGAGGCGCGAAAGCCAGGGGAGCAAACGGG
rnacentral:rRNA from 1 species